rnacentral:misc_RNA from 1 species
GAAACCCUCUCACCAAUUCCUUUUUCUCAGGAAAAGGAUUUGGUGGAUGUUGAGUGCUGCCGUAGUUGGCUCACUUUAAAUACAUUAGUUGGUUCAUUCACUUGAUGUGGAAUGACUUGAUGUGAUAAACUAUCUUCAUCAAGGAAAGUAACAGCUUUCAUAGUUGUUUCUGCCAUGUCUCUUGUGGAUGAUAGCUUCUAACCACCAGGUAUUAUUGGGAAACUGAUAAUAUCAUUUUUUGAUU